rnacentral:rRNA from 1 species
UACGGAGGGUGCAAGCGUUAUCCGGAUUCACUGGGUUUAAAGGGUGCGUAGGAGGGCAGGUAAGUCAGUGGUGAAAUCUCCGAGCUUAACUUGGAAACUGCCAUUGAUACUAUCUGUCUUGAAUAUCGUGGAGGUGAGCGGAAUAUGUCAUGUAGCGGUGAAAUGCUUAGAUAUGACAUAGAACACCAAUUGCGAAGGCAGCUCACUACGCGAAUAUUGACACUGAGGCACGAAAGCGUGGGGAUCAAACAGG